CCAGCGUCAUCAUGGGCGGCGGCCAGCACUGGCCACGCUGUCACCGCGUCGCCGUGGCGACGUUUGUGACACGGCCACCCGGGAGGGGUAUGAAGGCGGUGCACGCUGGUGGGUCCUGCAUCCUGAAGGAGCAUCUGGUAGAGAGCAGACGCACCUGAAGGGAUGAGCUCCGGCAUGGCUGGCGCCAACAAGGAGCAACCCGCUGGCACGAGGCGGAACAGGAUGAGCUUCUGCGAGGAUGGCCCCGCAGCGAGGCGUGCCUCCAUACCCACCUGCACCGACACCGAAGGUACACGGCUCCACAGCCACCACAGGAGCGCUGCUGCAGCCAAUCUUGGCACGCAGACGACACUUUCCAUCUGCCACCUCACUCCCGCCUGGCAGCGGGAGGGCUGCCGGGAAGCGGCAGGUGCAGAGUGUGACCUGCUUUUCCUUUGCCCUCCAGAGCGAGUUGCCGUCUGGGAUGCGGUGGCCGCCUACGUACAAGAGCACCUCCUGGUGCAGAAGGUGGGUUGGCUGCCGGGUUCCUCCUCUCCCUGUCCUCCUCAGCCAAGACUUCCUCCCACUCUUCCCCUCCACAGAAAGCAGGAAACUCACCCCACGUGUCUCUACUGGGCAUGCCAUGGGCUUCCUGCAAAUCCCGCAGGAUCACUUGUGCUGGGCGCUGUCCUGUCUCAGGGCUGAUCCCGCUCGCGGGAAGCCUCUGGAUCCCAUCAGGCUGCUUCUGCCCUGACUGCUGUGCUGCAUUUGGGAGGGCGAGGGGAAGGAGAGGACUGUGCAGCCCCUUCCCAAAGCCAUUCCCGAUGCCCUGGCUUGUGCCUCUGUACAGCGGGAGAGGGCUCCUGAGCUCCGUCCCUGCCUUGGACCGCUACAUGGGCUCUUCCUCCAGCCAGCCAGCCCAUAACCCUGCCCCC
ensembl:lncRNA